GUUUCUCUUUUUUGAGGUGCCUUUUCUUUCUUUUUUUUUUCUUGUGUAUACUUCUAGCUAGCUCCACGACGGAAUAAUGGUUUGUUGUAGUUUGAUAAGAUAUUCUGAAAACAGUGCUGCAGGCUGGAUCGAUCUAGGAGGGUUAAAAUAUGCAUGCGUGGUCACCUGUGAACCUUGUUCAUUAGCACUGCAUUUUGAUUCACAUUUUUGUGUUAUCAACAAUGCAUUAUUGUCUCAUGUCCGCAUCCCCUGAUUCCAUGGAUGAUUGCUAUAUAUAACAUUGUGGAUUCCUCAAUGUCAUAUAUAUAUACAUCAUAGCAAAACUUUCAUAAAAAUUAUUUUGGAUUUGGGUGGUUUAAUUAGUAUCUUGUUUUCUUUAUAGACGUAUAUCUUAAUUAAAACCCUAGGUUUGAAUUUAUCAUCAGGUUUACUGCUGAAUUUUUCACAAAGAGAGCCAGGUGAGUUAAUGAAGGUCAGAUAAGUAAAAUGUAUUUUUUUCUAAGAGUUAUAAAAUCAAAGUCUAAUAUUUUAUCUGUUAAUUUUAUGGCAAUAUUGAAUUUGUAUUUUUCUUGGUUUCAUUAAAAAAAAAAUUAUUGUAAAGGGACUUUUCUGGUGGUAGGUGAAGAUUGAGAGAAGACAUAAAUUUUUCUCUGCAAUUGAUUGUUCCUUCUGGGUAAAGGCCGACCACUUUGUUGACAAAGUGAUAGGAGUAGGUUACCAGAUUCGAUCUUCUACUUCGUUUCAUUAGUAAAGCUCUUUUCAGAAUCAUAAUAAAGUUUCAAAACCAAACCCCUUUUACCAAGCCAAUUAGGUCCCAUUAUUUUAUCAUUAAAAUACACUAUCUCCUGUAUAGUAUAUAUAUAUGUGGUAUUUUAUCAUAAACCCUUCAAAAGCUAUGCUUUUAGUGUCGAAUUGUCGAUAUAUAUAAACAUUCUUCUUGCACCGUUAAAUGCAGAAGUCUACAAUUAAUAAAAGAUAUAGAAAUGCUUUUUAUGAAUUUAUACACUUUGAACGAUGACCAAGCUGGCUUGCCAUCCACACACUAUGCAUUUAAAAGAUGGCAACAAAGAUUUAAAAAUAUGAAAAUGAAAAGACGAAAAGAUAUUGUUAUUCAACUUUUGGGUUGUUUAGUGGUGGCGGUUGUGGUGGUGAUAGUGGGACUGCUUUUUCCAUUAUGGUUUUGUUAGGUUAGGUCUAUUAUCGAUCAACUGUUGCAACAGUUGCCUGGAGGUUUAUUAAUUAUUUGACCAAACAGCUUUUAUUUUCCCGCUUUGGAAUGGAAUUCAGCUCCUCCAACUUCAUGAUAGGUUUUUUUGAUUUUCACCAUUGAUGUUUGAUAAUCUCUGGUCUGGUCUGGUUUGGUUAAGUUCUAUAAAGGUCAAAUUGGAAGCUCUGUGAAACUCUUUAUCUAUUUUAUUUUUGUACUCCACAUAUUUAUAUCUUUGAAUUUAGGCAAAAAAUUCUAACAGAAAGGUUUGUGCCUUUCACCUGUUUUACCAAAAUCAUUCUAUAUACACGAUGAAAACAUGAAAAUUAAAGGGGAAUAUCCAAUAAAAAGUGAAGGCAAUCAUGAUUAAAAAAGAAUAGAUGAAAGAUUUUUGCAUACUAUAAUCAUUUAUGAAGCAACUGGCAGAAAAAAAGCCGCCUAUAAAGAUUUACAGCUUAUUAUUCUUCUCACUGGCCAAGACAGAGGACCAACAAUUUGGCCCCCCAACCAUUCAAAGAAUGAUCGUUAUGGCUAGCCUCUUUUCGUUCCUUCUUACACAAAUGAAUCUGGGGUUGGUAUCCACAGCCAAAAUUGAGGCUCUCUUCUUCUUUUUCUUUUUUUCCUCUAUAUGAUUCUAUAAUUUAGUAUUACAUACACUCUCUCUCCCAAUGUAGGCAUAGAUGACAGAAGUACAGUUAUGUGCCAACUUUCUCAACUCAUCCUUCCUGAGUUUGGAAGAACAGUUGUUGAUAUCUAUCAGAACCUUGCACUCCACAAAGCAUUCUCAUCUUCACCACAGCGCUUGUGAACUUCCAUGAUCCUCUCAACAGACUUGCAAAUCCCACUACAUCUCCAAUCAAAUGAAGCAGCGCAGAUGUUUCCGAGCUGAGCCUUCCACUCACAAUCUGGUGGUGUACCACAACAUAGUCUCCUAUCAUCCACAUGCUCCACAUCUAAACCAAUAAACCAAGAUCCCAGUGAAACAUCUUCAUUUGCAUAUUUGUGCAGCACAUGCUGGUUUAUUGAUAUGUAGGUUGCCAAAUCCUUUGAUAUGGCAUAUAGUUGUCCUGUAGCAUGACGGAAAUACUUGUUUCCUACCUCUCCAAAUUUCCAAUACUCUGGUUCAUGAUAUCUAACUCCUCUAUUUCAUGAAAAAGUUAAAAUAAAAAAAUGUAUCCUACUGAUUAAGCAUACUAGAAAAGCAUAAUAACUCGCCUUACUUUCUAGCAAUCACGGGGCCUGACUUCAUGCAGCCUAUAUAAACCCGUGGUUUCAUACGGUGCCCAGCUAGAGCCAUCCCAAGCGUUGCUGUGGUAAAUUUCCAGCAGAUACACCCAGUGAGACAUGUUAAAUAUUACAUAUAAGACACAUUUUAAAAUACUAAUCUGGUCAUCAAGUGUUUGUAAAGGGCAUCUCAGUCAAGUUGGAACACGAGGUACGAAAAGAAUAUUCAAUUACAAAUUGUGCUAAGAUUACGUGCAGAAGUAACCAAAUGUUAGAUUGAUAAUUGUACAAUUACAAUGACCCAUCAAAUUCAUCAAUGACCUCUAACAGUGAUUAUUACCGUGCUCAUUCUUCUAAUCAAUGUAAACAAAAGCAAUUAAUGGAUUGUUAAACAUUGUAAUUUGCGUACUCAAUGCCAACUUCAUGCUACCUCAUUAAACAAAGCAAAUGAUAUCCAAAUAUAAUUAUUUGAGAAAGACUACCUGAAACGGCACCCUUAUGGUUACCAAAUGAAUCAAGUUAGAUUUAUGAGGUGAAAUUACAUAUUACUUUCAAAAUUUACAACACAAUUAUUCAGUGAAUAAUGAUAUAUCUCCUUCAGCACAGAUAGAAGUUUCAAAAUUCAUUUUUACCUAAAUUCACAUGAACAUCAUCGUCAACUUUGACAUAAAACUCUGCAUCCCAUAAAUCAAUAGCAGUAGUAAAAAAGGCCUUCGUCUUAGCUGAUAAUUCCAGGUAACCCUCAACAUGUUCCUGAUUAGACAGAAUAAAAAAUAAUUGUGUAAUUAUUUAAUAUUUCUUUCAACCUAUUUUCAAACCAUUCAAAAUGUGAAGAUAAAUGGGAGUGCUGUGCUGCUAAUUAAAUAUAAUGACAAAGUAGCAGAUAAGAACAUCACCAGUCUCAAGAAAUCUCCAUGUGCCAUUUCCUCUGCUUCAAUAGCUUUGUCAAGAAUGCCACCAGCUGUUGAACUGUGACCUAUGACAAAGCGAAUGAUUAUUCCCUUCUCCUCCAAUUUCUUUCUUUUCUCACCUUGUGGCAUCCAAGUUGCACGAACUGAAUCUCUUCGCUUCCGACUGCUAAAAGCUGUAUUGAUUCCUAUAAUCAUAAAGUAUUUUCUUUUUGAGUUUACAGAUGGGGUUUCAUUUGACAAAGAUUGAUGCUCUGCCUUAGCAGCUGCCAAUUGCUUCUCUAAAGUUGAAAUUUCAUUAUCCAGUGCCUGGGUUGCAUACUCAGUUUUUGAAAUUUGCUUUAGAUUGCUGUAUUUAAGACUUCCAACCUUCUGCUUCAGAUUGCAAUCCCCAGUUUCUAAAUUCAAUCGUUCUGGCACUGUCCACAUCCUGUUAGUGAAGAACAUUCCAGCAAAAAAGCUGCCAAGGCAAAGGAAAAGAGUCCAUUUUCUUGGCAUCACAUUCCUUCCAGCAAUCUCUCCUCCGACUCUACUCUUCAGAGACAUUUUUUCUCCUUUUUAUUCACUUAGCUUUCACUAACAAUUUAAAGUACAAAAACAAUAAAAAAUAAUUAACAAGAAAGAAACUAAUCAGACAAAUCCAGAACCAGAAUGUUUAGACCAGAAAACAAUUAUACAGUGUCUGUUUGAGACACAUACACACGCUCUCUCCCUCCACAAGGG
rnacentral:misc_RNA from 1 species